CUUCUUUUGAAAAGCUCUUUAUUAUUAGUUAACUGGUUUAAAAACAAAAUAAAUAGCCAACCAUCAGAAUAGACGUGAAAUUAUCUCCCCUUUUUUAAAAAAUGUCUCAUCACAACAAAAGGAGUUCAGACAUUGAAACAAAACCAACACAAAGGCACUAAGAUUAGUAUAUCAGUCCCAUCAUUUACAAAAAAAAAAAAACAACAGUAAUAUCCAUUAAGAUAGUGAGCAUAUGAUAUUGUACAAAAAUAAUGCUUAGAUUGAGUUCAAAUGUGAAAUGGGACUCACAUAUUAACCCAUUAUAUUGAGUUAAAUUAUUCAUGUAGUUACAAAUGUCAAUGAUGAAGAAUGACCAAGAUAUGAUAAAAGAUAUUCACAAAUUUAUUUCUGUCCAUUGAAAUAAACUUUCACCCUAUUUUCAGCUGAUUGUAGUUUCAGCUUUCAGUUUUCCAGUGCAUUCACAUCAAAUGUUUGGCAUGUGAACCAAUGUACAAAGUACUGGUAGCUCAAGAGUGUGUGGUACUGAGGUGAAGAGCAGUACAGUUGAACUGGAAGUUUUAAACUUGUUACAUGUUGGACCAGAGAAAAAACAACAACAUGCCAAUUGCUUUCAGUCCAUCUUUACAGAACCAAACAAAAGUGUCCAUGUUUACAAAACC